rnacentral:rRNA from 1 species
AUUGAACGCUGGCGGCAGGCCUAACACAUGCAAGUCGAAUGGUAACAGGAAACAGCUUGCUGUUUCGCUGACGAGUGGCGGACGGGUGAGUAAUGUCUGGGAAACUGCCUGAUGGAGGGGGAUAACUACUGGAAACGGUAGCUAAUACCGCAUAACGUCGCAAGACCAAAGAGGGGGACCUUCGGGCCUCUUGCCAUCGGAUGUGCCCAGAUGGGAUUAGCUAGUAGGUGGGGUAACGGCUCACCUAGGCGACGAUCCCUAGCUGGUCUGAGAGGAUGACCAGCCACACUGGAACUGAGACACGGUCCAGACUCCUACGGGAGGCAGCAGUGGGGAAUAUUGCACAAAGGGCGCAAGCCUGAUGCAGCCAUGCCGCGUGUAUGAAGAAGGCCUUCGGGUUGUAAAGUACUUUCAGCGGGGAGGAAGGGAGUAAAGUUAAUACCUUUGCUCAUUGACGUUACCCGCAGAAGAAGCACCGGCUAACUCCGUG